CCUACGGGAGGCAGCAGUGAGGAAUAUUGGUCAAUGGACGAGAGUCUGAACCAGCCAAGUAGCGUGAAGGAUGACUGCCCUAUGGGUUGUAAACUUCUUUUAUAUGGGAAUAAAAUGUUCCACGUGUGGGAUUUUGUAUGUACCAUAUGAAUAAGGAUCGGCUAACUCCGUGCCAGCAGCCGCGGUAAUACGGAGGAUCCGAGCGUUAUCCGGAUUUAUUGGGUUUAAAGGGAGCGUAGGUGGAUUGUUAAGUCAGUUGUGAAAGUUUGCGGCUCAACCGUAAAAUUGCAGUUGAAACUGGCAGUCUUGAGUACAGUAGAGGUGGGCGGAAUGCGUGGUGUAGCGGUGAAAUGCUUAGAUAUCACGAAGAACUCCGAUUGCGAAGGCAGUUCACUGGACUGCAACUGACACUGAGGCUCGAAAGUGUGGGUAUCAAACAGGAUUGGAUACCCCAGUAGUC
rnacentral:rRNA from 1 species